rnacentral:rRNA from 1 species
GACGUAGGAUGCAAGCGUUGUUCGGAAUUACUGGGCGUAAAGGGCUCGUAGGCGGCCAACUAAGUCAGACGUGAAAUCCCUCAGCUUAACUGGGGAACUGCGUCUGAUACUGGAUGGCUUGGAUUCGGGAGAGGAAUGCGGAAUUCCAGGUGUAGCGGUGAAAUGCGUAGAUAUCUGGAGGAACACCGGUGGCGAAGGCGGCAUUCUGGACCGACAUUGACGCUGAGGAGCGAAAGCCAGGGGAGCAAACGGG